UACGUAGGGGGCAAGCGUUGUCCGGAAUCAUUGGGCGUAAAGAGCGUGUAGGCGGCCUGGUAAGUCCGCUGUGAAAGUCCAGGGCUCAACCCUGGAAUGCCGGUGGAAACUGUCAGGCUCGAGUCCGGAAGAGGUGAGUGGAAUUCCCAGUGUAGAGGUGAAAUUCGUAGAUAUUGGGAAGAACACCGGUGGCGAAGGCGGCUCACUGGCUCAUAUCUGACGCUCAGGCGCGACAGCGUGGGGAUCAAACAGG
rnacentral:rRNA from 1 species